rnacentral:rRNA from 1 species
UACGUAGGGGGCAAGCGUUGUCCGGAAUUACUGGGCGUAAAGAGCUCGUAGGUGGUUUGCCGCGUUGUUCGUGAAAACUCACAGCUCAACUGUGGGCGUGCGGGCGAUACGGGCAGACUGGAGUACUGCAGGGGAGACUGGAAGUUCCUGGUGUAGCGGUGGAAUGCGCAGAGUAUCUGGAGGAACACCGGUGGCGAAGGCGGCAUUCUGGACUACAACUGACACUGAGGAACGAAAGCCAGGGGAGCAAACGGG